CCACUGUUCCACACCCGACCAAAAGAUGGAAGCCAGUUGGCAUCUGUGUGAGAGCUGUGGUCAAAGUUGGCCCCUACUCUGUUUGGAGGAAGCUUCCUCAGCUUCUCUUGUUCCUCUGAAAAGAGAUCAGACCUUCAGCUUCAUAAAACUGAUUAUGAUGAGUGCAAUGUUCAAAUAUGCUGGUCCUGCACACCUGACAUGAUUAUUACUGGUAAGUAUGCACAACCAAGAGCUACUCUUGAUACCAAUUUGAGCAACUAGAGUCAAAUUAACAGCCAGCAGCAAGCAUCAAACCACUGCUGACAUGCAAAUAAAAUCUGCAAAGCAAA